rnacentral:lncRNA from 1 species
CGUUCUCAAUUGUCCCCGCCCUCUCGACAUUUCGUCAUUUCUUUUCUGUUUUCCUCUCCCUCCUCCUCCACUCUGCUCAGGUCCCUCUCACUCUUUUUUUUUUUUAACCGCUACGCCACAGUCCCCGGGAGAAUUCAGAUCCCAACCGGGGCUUCCGGAUUCUGUAGUGGCUUUGGCCUGUGUCUGGUCUGAGGACGCCCGGAAGGCAUUGCACUGAGGCUAAGGGAAAGGUCUCUGGAGGGAGCCUCAGGAAGAGCAAAUGGAGGCCAGAGACUGGCAGGAGCGCGCCAGCGCAGGAUUUAAUCCCGACGAGCGGAUUCAGAGCCGUGCUUAUAUAAAGCUUCAGGAAGCGCCGUUCCGACGAUGAGGUCGACACGCGAGAGGCGACCUCAAGAGCGGCGGCGCCAGGGAUCUGUGCGCCAAGGGAGGACGGGAGGGAGCAGGUUCGCCAUAAUUCCUGGCUCCAGGCUCUGUUUUGUUGGACCGAGCCACUGUAUUUUAGCUCACACAGGAGAAUUCUGGCCCUGGGAAAAUUGGUCUCAGCAUGCUGCCAAGCUUUCUCAUGGACGUCAGCGAAUCCCAACACACUGUCGGUCAAAGCCGUGCUGGAAGAAACAAAACAGUUCUCCCUCGGUAGAACUGAGAGGGGAUUGGUCCAGGGCCCCCGCCGAUACCAAAAUCCAGGUUGCUCAAGUCUCUCAUAGAAAGUGGCGUAGUAUUUGCACAUAACUAUGCACAUCCUCCCGUGUACUUUAAAUAGUCUCUAAAUUACUUCGUAACACCUAAUCCAGUGUAAAUGCUAUGUAAGUAAUUGUUAUACUGUUUUUAUUUUUACUAUCUUUUGUUGUACUUUUUUUUAAAAAAGAAAUUCAUUUGUUUAAUAUUUUCGGUCUUGGGGAACCCGCGUAUAUGGAGGGCCUGCUACAUAGAGAAGACUGAGGGAUAUUCUGUGCAUCCGUUUCUACGGAUCCUCUAAAUCGGCCUUUGUUUUCAGCCAGGAUUUAGUGCCCAGCUGUGUCCUUUGGAGGCCCCACAUGGAGCUAGCAAAGUUUGCUAAAUCGGGUUUUGCAAGAGGACUGUCUGCUCCAUACUGGGAGUAGUUACCGCAAACUGCCCUAUGAAAUUGGUUGGGGUUCUUACUGUUAGCAUGUUUAAUCUCUCCCUUGGAUCCACCUUCUGUGUGCUCAUAAAUCGUAAAUCUGUAUUCAGACUUCUGGACUCGAGACACGUAGAUCCACCUGGUGGUUCUUCAGUCAUUUUAAGCCCAAAACUCAAAAUCUCCCGAAAUCAAAAUGUUUAAACUUAUAAUCUCCAGGGUGUGACUCACGGGGGAUGAGGGGAGCAAUUCUCUCCCUCCCCGCAUAAAGCUGGUUCUCCUGUCUGCUCAUUGAACGGUUCCACUGCGCAUCACAGCAUCUACAUGCCUAAACCAACACCCCAGCAUUGGCAACAGAUAUCUUCCUCUCCCUUGGCUGCUUCAGGACAGGGAAGAAACAUGCUUGCCCUUUUCUGACUCUUUAGUAACUCUGGCCGAAUCUAUCACAUUAUUUUACAUCUCUUUACAUCUUACUACUCCCCCAUCUUGGCUGUGUGUUCCCUACUGGCAGUGAUUUUUGUUUAUUCAUUUUUGUAAACUGACACUUAGUUCAGUGUCCAAUAUAAGCUCAACAAUAGUUUAUAAAAGGAAAAGUUCCUGCCUUUGAUUGCUUUUAAACACUAUUAGAAAAGACAUAACCAAAUUGCAACAUGAUAAAACAAACAGCUAAAAUCCCUUACCUGUUUAAUAGCAGAUCCUCCUCGCAAAUCUCAAAUUUUUAACUCAGUUGUCAUAAAUCUUCUUCAGCACUAGAAGCAAAUCUAACCUCGGAGAUGAGAAGUGGUCACCACACCCAAAUAGACAUUGUCACAAGACUCGAAUCUUCCAUCUAUUCUAAGGGCCCAUUUAUCUUUUCAAAAGUCAUUUGGUUUUCCAUAUGUCCUUUACUCCUCCUCCUUUUCCCCUGCUGCUAGGUAGAUCCCAAAUUCUAACCACUCCUUUGAGUUACUCAUCACAGAGUGCUCCCAUGUAUACACUUUUUUUUUUUUUGUUUGACUCAGGGUCUUACUCUGUCACCCAGGCUGGAGUGCAGUGGUGCAAUCUCAGUUUAAACCCCCAAGUCUGUGGUAUUUUGUUAUAGUCCCCCUAGAAAUUAAUACAGGAUUCAUGGUCUGCCAAAGUCUCAUUCCCUGCUCAGACCGACAAUGGAUAGUGGGAUCCUUUGUGAUAUGUGCUCUGUGAGUUAGAAGUAGUAACUUAGAGCUGUUGAGGACAAUACCUUUGCACCCCAUCCACUGAAUUUUGUUUUCAAAGAUACAGUCUGAAACUCCCAGAGGGUGAGUGCCUUUCCAGUGUGUCAGAGCCAUUAGUGGCUGAGCAGACCGCUGAGCAUGUAGAUUUCUAGGUCAGGGCCCUCUCCCCAAAGAAUCAUACUCCCUGGUUGAACUGAACCUAAAUCAGGUUUAAAACUAGACAGAUGCCAACCAACUUAAAAUUCCAAAGAUAUCCAAGACCUGCCCAUGGCCCUGGGAUUUGAGGACAACGUGUGCAUGUCAUGGCUAUGGCAGUUCAGGGGUCUCUAGCUUAGUGGGAAUGUCUAUGUCCUACCUUGACCCUUCUGAGUCUUCCGCCCGCAUCUGCCCCUCCUAUGACAAUGGAGUAUUCAUUCCCCAGAUACAGCACCGUGAAAGAGAGGCAGGAACACUGGAUAGUCUAAGACCUGGUCUUUCUUGGCUGGUGUGAGACAG